UUUUUGGAGGACGUAACAGCUCCUGUGGUGCCUGGCUGGCGAAGAGAGAUGUUAAGCCAAGGAGCCAGCAGUGUACGCCACUGAAGUAUUCAAACACACAGUGACAGGACAGCACAUCUGUGAGUGCUGUGGGCUAGUGAGCUACUGAAGGGGUCCUGGAAAACACUCUCUUCCCUGAAAUGCUAUAGGACUUACUGCUACAGGGAAAGUUUGCAGCUAUGAGGGGAUCAUUGGAAUCAGCACUGCCCGGAAUACAACCCAGUCCUCAGGCAACACCGUGAUCCUCGCUCCUCCUGCAGCACUGCCUGCACCAAGGAGCCUGGCUGGAUGGCUCUUCCUUUGAAGUCCCAUCAAGUUCCAGGGAGAGAAGAGAAAAAAGCAGCAGAAUUUGGAGCCUCAGGAGACCCAGGAAGAAUGGCAAGCCCAUGCGACACAAAUCCAGAGUCCUGUAUUAGCCAGGAGACCCCAGGACUGGCUUCUAUCCUGUAACUUCUGUACUGAGAUCAAUGUGUUCAGAUUUCAAAAGACAGAAACCCCAUGAGGCCUCUAUCACAUGCUGUGCUGAAUGAGCAGCGCCUCAAGUCAGUCAGGGAGAAAACAUGCCUCCGCAGGAAGUGUGGAGUCAGCAGCAGAAUAGGGAAAAGGCUGCGAAAGUGAUAAACACCAUGAAUAUGACAGUGAGUUGCCUGGCUUAAGCAACCCCUUCUGAAAGAUCCACUGCUUCCCAUUCCCCCUCACAGCUUAGAACAGUGGUCCCCAACCUUUUGGGGCUGCCGGGCUCCCGGGGGCAGGGCUACUCACGCACCAGGCACCCGGGGGCAGGGCCACACACGCACCCAGGGGCGGGGCUACCCAUACGGUGCGCACCUGGUGCUGGCGCCACCUAUGUGCCGCAUUCCUGGGGCCAGCGCCUGUGUCGCGCGCCCAGGGGUAGGACUGCCCAUAUGCCAUGCGCUGGGGCUGGAACAGCCCAUGCGCCGCACACCUGGGGACA